rnacentral:tRNA from 1 species
GCCUGGGUGGCUCAGUCGGACUUGAGCGUCCGACUCUGGCUCAGGUCAUGAUCUCACAGCUCGUGAGUUCGAGCCCCGCUUCAGGCU